ACAGGUACGUGGGCGGGCGGAUCGUGGUGGCUGCGCUUGCGAGGACCCUGAGGUAGAUUGGGUGGUUUCAACAGGAACGCAUCCACUGUCUGAGAGGUGACGGAGGCACACGUUGGUGUGGGGAGCGGGAGGGGAGAGGGAGGGGGGCGGGUGGGGGGCGGGAGGGGGCCAGGGGUGGGAGUGAGGGUGCGCGAUGGGAGUCGACUCCAGACCCAGGUGAUUUAGAGAGAGUAAAGACCACCUUUGGCCGUCAUUUUGUCUCAGCUUAACUGACGCCCUCUUGUUACCCUCUAGUUUUCCUGACUCGGUCCCUUAUUAGCAUAUCCUCAUUUCCACAGACCUGUCCGUCUGUUGCUUCUGUUCCCUGCCUUAGUGGGUACCGUAGCUCUACCCUCCUUCCGGGCAAUGGAAUCUCAUAGUGAGAAGUUUCUUCACUAUUCACAGGUGGCAAUUGAAGCCGGAAGAACAUCUACCAAGAGCAGAGAACCCAGGAAGAAAAUUCUGCCUCUUUAAUACGUUCCAAUAUGGACGUUUUCCAUAUAGAUACCUAUCUAUAUAGAUAGAUGCUCUGGGAUCUGACGGUCCUGGACACCUGUAUGGCUGUGUGCUGUGGUCUUUGCCUAGCCUGCGGUUCACUUUUGCUCUGGCCACCACCUCCCCUCAUGUACAAACCGCGUCUCUGCUCUGCCAGUCUUGGCCCCCGUCAGGCAGCGGUUCACUCCCUCACCAGGGAAGUCUAGAUAGAUAGAUAUAGAUAGAUAUCGAUCGAUAGAUAUAGAUAUAUAUAUAGAUAGAUAGAUAGGUAGAUAUAUGGAUAGAUAUAGAUAUUUGGAUAGAUAUGUAGACGUCUAUCUAUAAAUAUAUCGAUAUAUCGGGGUUCUCAGCCAUCCCAAAGAAGCUUGCACAGGGCCAGUUGCUUUAUGUCAGGAAAAGGGACACAGACUGAGUGUAUGAGGGUUUUUUUUUUCUAUAGAUGUAUAGAUAUUUAUAUCAGAUGCAAAUAAGUGAAACUCUCAUACAACUUUUAAUUUUGUGUUUUUUCCAAACUCUAUUCCAUUCAACUUUUUCUGCCUUUUUAUUUGAUUAUAAUGAGACAUCGUACUGGAGGCAGGCUUGAAAUGGAUAUACAGAGCACUUUCAACCCAGAAAUUUGUCUCACGACUUGGGGUCCUUACUUAAGUUGUAGCUGUUAGUAAUUUCAUCCAUGAAUUCACUUUGUGCCAUAGUGUGAUGUUUUGUUAUGAAGUUGGAAUUGGGAAGGGAAACUAGGAAGUUUUGGGAGAAGUUAAGAAGGUUGAGUAGGCAGGCGUUGUUAUAGAUAUUAAAUUUCACCCUGCUUAUCAAAGUACCUGGAGCGUAUGGUAUCCAAGCUGUAAAUGGCCCAAAGGAAUCGGGGUUCUCAGCCAUCCAAAAGAAGCAUGCACAGGGCCAGUUAUUUUAUGUCAGGAAAGGGGACACAGACUGAGUGUAUGAGGGUUUUUUUUUUUGUUUUUUUUUUUUAGUUUAAACUUGAUUUUGUGAGGGGACGAACAGCGUGACAAUUAAAAGAAGAUCUGGGAAUCUUUCCAAGAAGAGUUUUCUAAUCUGUUAAGAUGUCACCUGCAGCCUCCUCAAAG
rnacentral:lncRNA from 10 species